UACGUAGGUGGCAAGCGUUGUCCGGAUUUACUGGGCGUAAAGAGCGCGCAGGCGGUCGUUCAAGUCGCGUGUGAAAGCCCCCGGCUCAACUGGGGAGGGUCACGCGAUACUGAUCGACUCGAAGGCAGGAGAGGGUAGUGGAAUUCCCGGUGUAGUGGUGAAAUGCGUAGAUAAUCGGGAGGAACACCAGUGGCGAAGGCGACUACCUGGCCUGUUCUUGAC
rnacentral:rRNA from 1 species